rnacentral:rRNA from 1 species
UACGAAGGGGGCUAGCGUUGCUCGGAAUUACUGGGCGUAAAGGGCGUGCAGGCGGUUUGUUAAGUGCAGGGUGAAAGCUCCCGGCUCAACUGGGAGAGGUCCUUGCAUACUGGCGAACUCGAGGGAGGCAGAGGAAAGUGGAAUUCCCGGUGUAGUGGUGAUAUGCGUAGAUACCGGGAGGAACACCUGUGGCGAAGGCGGCUUUCUGGGCCUUACCUGACGCUGAGACGCGAAAGCGUGGGGAGCGAACCGG